GGGAGGGAGGAAGGAGGGAAGAAAGGGAGGAAGGAAGGAAAGAAAGAACCCAGAUUAUGAAGCUAUGAUUUGUUUUUGUGCUGGAGAUUCAGUCUAGGACUUACACGGAGAUACAGCCCCACUCUUUUUUAUUCAUUCAUUCAUUGCUCAGGCUGGCCUCAAAUUUGAAAUCUGGCCUCAACCUCCGUUGUAGCUGGGAUUAUAUGUUUAGGGUCAUUACGCUUGGGGGCGGCCACGAUUAGAUUUUAAUUCUAUCGUAUGUCAGUACAGGUGUGAUGCAGGACAAUAGAGAGGAUGGAGAGAGCAGGACAGGAGUCAGAAUGCAGAAAACUGAGUCCCGAUGGAGCCCUCUCUCCUGAAGGGAGAAGGAAGGAAGGAGGAGACACGGAGGGCCCCAACAGCUGCGGCGCGUGUACUUGCACACCCGGGAGGUUGGAUGUCACGUGACGCCCCUCCGCCUAAUAGCUAACCCACGUGGCUUGCCUCCUGGGUUCUCCAGACUGCAGCAGCUUAUCCACGUGACUCGCCUCAGGCGCUGUUCUUUGCUGACCACACUCCGGCCCGCCUGUGUGAUAGGUCUCCAGCUGCAGCAGCUCCCCACAGCGGGGCGACCCGAAGGCCCCAUGAGGCCGCCCUUCAAUGGACAGCGACAGCCGGCGGGCACAGAGUAUUCACAGGCGCAGAGGCGGAACCUAACCCUCUCAGCCAGCUACGCCGCAGGGGCUGCUGACAUCUGAGGAUGUGGCUGUGCACUUCUCCCAGGAAGAGCAGAGGCUCCUUAAUGUGGCCCAGAGGCACCUGUAUCCUCACGUGAUGCUGUAUAACUUUAAGUCAUAAGCUCCCUGGGUUCCCAGUGGUUGAGGUGCAUGCUGGAACUGCCUUGCCUCCCUGAGCUGUGCUGUGAGCAGCCCCUGCUGCUGUUGCCUUCAUAGGGUCAAGCUUGAGGGUGAGGUCUUUCGCAGGUGCUCAACUGAUCUGGCCAGUUCCAGUCUAUCCCACCUUGAUUGGCACUUUUAGAUUGCCCUCUUCCUCCACAAGUCGUUUUUUCUUCUUGUAGUCCUGGGGAUUGAGCCCAGGGCCUCACUCACACCAGGCAAGUGUUUUACCACUGAGAUGCA